ensembl:lncRNA
CUCAGGUCAGGGUGGGGUUUACUCACCAUUCCACUAUUCAGGCAAUAGGGACUCAGGGUUUCUGACUUCUGGACGGGAACUCUGUGCUAUGAAUUGUCAGCUUAUCUCCUUUUCCUGGAGACCAAGGAGGCCACUGUACCCAGCUCCCCGGGUGUCUCAGGGAGAGGCAUCGUAGGGAAUGUGGGAGGAAGCCCAUCUCUACACAUGUCCCUUUUCUGGGCUUGUUUUUGUGUUUACAAACAUUGUACAGACAUUGCUGGGGUCAAAAGACUGUCCGGGCUGUUGGUCUACAAGGGAAGCAGCUGUGAUUUUUCAUUCUGUGAACUCUUGAGCCAAAUGGCUUAACACGACCCCCUGGUUAUUCUCUCCUCUGGCUCAGAUGACAGGCCACGUGGUGGUAAGUAGCCAGCAUCUCCUGCAAGGCUGGUAACAGGUUUAUUCUUGCACCCACUUCACACCAUCAUGAUGCGUAGAUGGCCUCGUUCUGUCCAUAAAUCACUGUCAAGGUGUAAGCAAACACUGACUAGUAAGCAACAGCAGCAACUUUGCUGAGGAGGGAGAAAAGAUCUAAUUACACAGGUAGUAGAGGAGUACUCACACCCUCGUCUAUACGAUGUUUCAUCACUUAUAAUGGGCUUUUGUUCUUGGUCAGCUUCAUAAUUUUUAUGACUACCCAUUGUUUUCAGUGUUGAAAACUAUAAUGCAGGCCUUGCAGCUAUUCAAAUUAAACAGUAAAAGGCAGAUGCAGGUCCUGUCAAGUAAUCAGUCAGAAAAGACAGAAUUUUUCAUUCUAUUUACACUAAAACAACAGCAAUGGUAAAGGAAAAUUUUACACUAAAACUCAUGGUAUUAAAACAAUUAGUUUUUAUAUGGACCCAUAGUCUGUCACUAUUUCUGUCCACAGUAAGAGAUUUUUUUUUAAAUCAUUACUUAAAGCUAAAAAUGUAGUCAUAUAGUGUCAAUAAACCUUCAAUCUUUGGGAGUUCAAAGUUCUACAGCAACAUAUCCAGUUCUUCAAAGCUUACACUUGGUUUGAACAAUGGAACCCACUGUAAUAUUUCACUUGUUCUAAAUUCUGCCCUCUGCAGGUAGAAGUAUCACAUGAAAAUCUGUCUCAGGAUUUCAGCUCUGGUCUCAAAAAUCACAUCUGGAUAGGGAACUCAAAGAACAGAAAAUGAAUUCAAAGAACUUAGACUCUUAGGAAAUGACAAAGCUGAGGCAGAGUUCAGAGCCAGCUACAGCACUUUUAUUUCGUCUGUAGUCUCUGUUGGGUUUGACAUUUAGUAUUGAGCAGAAAGUUUGGUCAUUGGUGAAGAUGCUGAAUUUAAGAGGAAAGCCAAAUACAGCCUGAACUGUUGAAAACAAUGGGAAAAACAAACUUUACUGAAGGAGGGAACUAAAACUAUGAAUUAGGAGAAAGAGAGCAAGACCCAAAGUAUGAUCUCAGCACUAUAAAAUAAAGGCUGGUUAGUCUCUCUAUCUUUGUGCCUGGUGGUCUAGUUAUUGUUCAGACUAAUGGGCAUCCUGAGAGCUGGUAGCUGAUACUGCUGCCCGUGGGCUCUGAGACACAGUUACACUUCAUCAGAGUCAUUGAGUUGGCCCUGGCAGCUUAAGGAGAAGCACAUGGAACAACUUCCAAGUGCAUGUGGCAAAGAAUAACAAUUGCCGAAGAUAUGAAGAGAAACGGGUGAUAUGAUUUGUGCUUAACACAUGGUUAAGCUUUUAGAACUUAGUUCCACACCAUUUUUAGAAAGAACAUUUAGAAGACAUGUAUAUUGUGGACCUAGGUUAUGUAAGCAAGUGCUUCCAUUAAGCUUGGCUUCAAAUGGCUCCACUAAGUGGGUAUCAUUAAAACAAUGAUAAGAAGCUUAUAUUUGAGCUCCCCCAACACUAC